CACGGACCGCACGAACGUUAUUCGGUAUCACUGGGCUUAAAGGGUGCGUAGGCGGCUUUGCAAGUUGGGUGUGAAAGCCCUCGGCUCAACCGAGGAAUUGCGCUCAAUACUUGCCGAGCUCGAGAGAGACAGAGGUAAGCGGAACUAAUGGUGGAGCGGUGAAAUGCGUUGAUAUCAUUAGGAACACCGGUGGCGAAGGCGGCUUACUGGGUCUUUUCUGACGC
rnacentral:rRNA from 1 species